GAGCAGGCCGAUCCUGGGAGCCGUGGGACGCAAAGAGACAAAGGGGAGAAGGGUUUUCCAGGAGGGCCGCUGGUUAGGCAGAAGGUGGGCUUGAGUGGACAGCUUUUGUUUCGGGAGAGGGGAGCUCCCUGGUCCCAGGGCGCCCCUUUUCAGAAUCUCAGUCAAAGGCUCUUUUGUCCUCCUCUGCUCCUCGCGCUGAAGGGCCAGGUGCAGACUCUGUUCCCAAGGGAACCGGAGCUUGGUGCCCGUGGAGGUUGGCAGCCCUGGAUGCUGAGCCUGGCUGCCUGCUAUGGCCUCAAACCCUGGACCACAUCAGAGGGAGAGAGAAACAGGCAGGUGAGGGACCGAGAGCAGGGGGUUUGGGGGAGCUGAGGUUCUACCCGCCUGGACCUCAGCGGUGAUCCUCACAGCCUGCUCUCCCUUGUCUCCAUGCCCGCGGUCCUUUUCCCGGCUGAGCCCUGCACACCACACACAACCAGUGCUUCCAAGUCCUUCCCUGUUUGACCCUCCAGGUGUAAACAUUUCCGUAACAAAUCACACAGCGUGGUGUUCUAGGUAGUGAAACGAGGGGUCAGGGUGUAUCAGAGCCAUCUGUGGGUUCGAACCCUAGAGCACGGGAAAGAACCGGCAUCCCUGUUUGCUGAGAUGCUUCUCCGGAGAUGCUGAUCCGCCGGUGCCUGAAGAGUUGCGGGAGGAUGAAGGAUGGACUAUCGUGAGAGCCUCUGGAUUCUGAAGCAGGAUCAUGCCCAUCAUAUGCAUAGGAAUAAUUACCCAGGAAGAGACUGUGUGCUGACAGUGGGUCACCAUUGCCAACAGCUUGAGCUGACCACUGUGAACCAGCUCUGUCUGACUCACCAAGGUAAAACUGGGCACACAUCAUCAAAUGGAAACACACACACACACACACACACACACACAGUCAUUUCAGAGGAACUGACAGAGAAGGAGAAGACUCGGGCCUUGUUUGUAGGUACACGAUGUGUACCAUCAGAAACCAGGCAGCUGCAGCUUCUUGCUGGGACUACAGAAUGUUCAAGACCAUGGUGUCAACAAUGGCUUAGUUUCUAGUUAGUUCCUUCUGUAUUAAAACAUGAAGGGUACCGUGUGGUAAAAUAUUUCACCUCUCUAAUUGGCGGUGUGAACCUGGCGGGGGGGGGAGCAGGGUCUAAAAAUAAGGCUGGCUAAAGUCUCAGGCAAUAGCCGACUUUAUUCAGAAUAUCAGACGAUGUAUACUCCGAGGGUUAAGAAGUCACCUGAGUUAAGUGUGCAGUCACAAGGACAGGACGCAUGUGACAGAAGCACGUCUCUCCGCAGAGGCGCAUGGACAGCAGCAGCAGCUGAAGUAAACUCACUUCCGUCCCCUACACCUGGGAGAGACAGGAAAGCACAUUCCAAGAGCAACGCAUGCUAUGAGGAAACAGAGGUCACGAGACUCUGGUCUGGUUUACUGGAGUUUGCUCACACUCAGAAUUCCUCUUGCAGGACUCCAUUCUUGGACUGUGUUAAGACAGCAAGACAUCGUAAACAAGCCAGAGAGAGCCCACCGCAACAGAACUGCUGCCAUAGCAACUCAUUAACCUAUGAACCCCCUCAACAUUCAUGACCCAGUCGAUCUCAAGGGUUCUACUCCCCAACUCUCCUGCACAUGAACUUUAGGGGCACAGGUUCAAAUCACAGCACCUCCCAUAACCCCUAUUUACCCCCAUUGGGUUCCUUUGGUACCCUGAGGGCAGAAGUUUUGAGAGGCGGUAAAAAGACAAUGUGUGAACCUUAGGAUGAAGAGUUAUCUCACAGCAGUGACUGAGGCAGAGCAAACUGUCAGUGUUUGGGAGAAAGACCAGCCCAUGAGAAUGUAUGGAAAUGCACAAAAGGCAAUCUUCUGAAGAGGGUGUGUGGAAACUUACCUACAUAUAAGAUUUAAUUGGGAGGUUAAGAGAAAAUAAAGAAAACAAAUGUAGGGAUGUACACUGUUUUGAAACCUUGAAGCUCACUCCCAAUGACAAACCUCCAAUAAGGCCACACCUCCUAGUCCUUCUCAAACAGUUCCAUUCCCUGGAGUCAAAUACACGAGCCUACGGAGCUCCGUCCUCAUUAAAACCUCCUCAACGUGUUUUGGUAGACAUGAUGCAUUAAUAAACUUGAUAAUCUAAAUUAAUUUAUGUAUAUUAAAGAAUCAGCCAUUUUU